UCCUCUAAAAUUUCCCUCAAGAUAACUGGACUACGUAAUGAAGCUGUUGUAUUUGGUAAAACGAAUGAUUAGAGGGAUUAUGGGACGAAACGUCUUCAAUCUAUUUGCAAACUUUAAUGAGUGUGCAUCUUGCUUACUUAAAUGAAACGGAGACGUUAAAUGUUUGCUCCGAGCGGGCCAAUUUUAGCAAGCAGAACUGGCGCUGUGAGAUGAACCAAACGUUGAGUUAAAGUCAAACUUUUUGUCUAUUCGGUUCUUUAUUUUGAGAAAAAUUUUGAACUAUUGUUAAAAUUCAGUACAAAAAUGGCGAAGUGAGUGGA
rnacentral:ncRNA from 1 species